rnacentral:rRNA from 1 species
CUUCCGUAGGGUGAACCUGCGGAGGGAUCAUUACCGAGUUUACAACUCCCAAACCCCUGUGAACAUACCAAUUGUUGCCUCGGCGGAUCAGCCCGCUCCCGGUAAAACGGGACGGCCCGCCAGAGGACCCUUAAACUCUGUUUCUAUAUGUAACUUCUGAGUAAAACCAUAAAUAAAUCAAAACUUUCAACAACGGAUCUCUUGGUUCUGGCAUCGAUGAAGAACGCAGCAAAAUGCGAUAAGUAAUGUGAAUUGCAGAAUUCAGUGAAUCAUCGAAUCUUUGAACGCACAUUGCGCCCGCCAGUAUUCUGGCGGGCAUGCCUGUUCGAGCGUCAUUUCAACCCUCAAGCCCAGCUUGGUGUUGGGACUCGCGAGUUAAACCGCGUUCCCCAAAUUGAUUGGCGGUCACGUCGAGCUUCCAUAGCGUAGUAGUAAAACCCUCGUUACUGGUAAUCGUCGCGGCCACGCCGUUAAACCCCAACUUCUGAAUGUUGACCUCGGAUCAGGUAGGAAUACCCGCUGAACUUAAGCAUAUCAAUAAGGCGGAGGAAUA